UACGGAGGGUGCAAGCGUUGUUCGGAAUUAUUGGGCGUAAAGGGCAGGUAGGUUGUCUCGCAAGUCUACUGUGAAAUCCCUGGGCUUAACCCAGGAAGUGCGGUGGAUACUGCAAGACUAGAGUAUCGGAGGGGUGCGUGGAAUUCCCGGUGUAGCGGUGAAAUGCGUAGAGAUCCGGAGGAACACCAGUGGCGAAGGCGGCCGCCUGGGCCGGACCUGACGCUGAGACGCGAAAGCGUGGGGAGCAAACAGG
rnacentral:rRNA from 1 species